GACAGUUCGGGCGCCGGCACACGCCGCCGGCUCCCCCGCGUACCUAUGCUACUAUGUUGGCAUAGGUUACAUCAUGUGUCUACCCCACUAUAUAUGAGAGGCCUAGGAUACAAGUGUCCUAUCAGGACACGACCCCAUAUCCUGUCUAAACACAAUACUACUCAGAGUCCAACUGUAACCUACCGUGUACACAAUAUUCGACACAACUCUAACAAACUCCACCUUGGCGAAUAUUCUCCACCACCUUGAAUUCGUCUAUGCGUCAAACUUCCAUGUACAUUGAACUUGAGCUUAUCCAUGAGCACCACCGCUACUCCAAAGACUCCAUGCGACGCCACCUUCAACUUGUAGUUCCUUCUUUUCCAGACCAUAGUCAACGCUUGAACGAAAUUAAGCUCCACAUUACUCUAGUUGAGCUCCCAACUGAACUCAACAUCAUCGCUCUUCCUUGACCGCCUGUCUGAAACUUGAAGGAAUUUCAUCAUUGCUUGUAGCCAUCCCGAGUCAAAUUCGCAGUUGUCUCACCACAUGUAUGACCACCAGAGCCCUGGCCCGUCUCCAUGUCCCGUGUGUAUCGCACGCCUCGCCGCUAUUACCGCGUCGAGCCUCUGCUGUCCCGGUCGAGUCUCAAGGAUCGCGAACCCACACCACUCAACCCCCACUGCAGAGUACCACCGAUCAUCACCGACCGGUGUCGAGUAUCACGUCUCCAUCAGACCACUGGUACCCAGUCCGAUCAACGUGUCUCUCGCUAUUCGCUGAAAUAGGCUUCGACUCUCCAUGCAUUUACGCCGUAGCCCCUCCAUCAGCACAGAGUGAAGUCUUCCACCAGACUCCAGCUCCACCUUCAACAUGACUUCAUGUAGCUGGCCAUGCUACCCCGCGCCCUGUCGACUUCAAGCUCUCAUGUGUACACUGCCUUGAAUCAACCCCUCGUCAUAGUCUGUUGAAACCGCACAAGCCCUCAUGCUUGCACCACGUGUUUCCACGCCCCAGAAGUUGGCCACCAUCAGCAUCACGCUCCUAUGUCGUCAUCGCUGAAAUCACCGCCGUCUUCUGCUUUGACCGACAUCCCCAUCGAUCCGUCAGACAGUCCAGUCCGACCCAACCGAAAAAUUUCUGGCUGCAACCAUGCUCCACCGUGCAUCAUGUCCGCCCUGCACAUCUUCGUGCAUUCCUUAAUGCCCUGUGUAUGCAUAAUCCCAUCACGACACGCUUGUCGGCGCCGCUCUCCCAUGUACAACUUCCGUAUACAUCAAGAAGAAAAAUCCCAAAAGAACCUUCAUUGUAGCCUACCGUAUGCAUGUAGCAAAAAACAGUCAAAUAUUACUUUGACCAAGCAAGGCCACGCCUCAUGAUUCCUUCCAUGGGUUACACCAUCUUCUUUUCCUUUUUCUUCAAACAAAUCAUGUGCCUUUGCUCCUCGCAUUGUACGUAUACACAUAACACAUCCCAGCCUCUGUACGGCUGCGUGCCAUCACUGGAACGAAAAACCAACUCCAAACAUUGACCUUGUUGUCCAACCCCGAACACGCCUCGACUGCAGACCACCACAGUGCCACGCCCUGCCUUAGAUCUUGAGUCCUCAGCUAGCUCAGGUCGCCCAGCCGCAGCCUCACUGGGCCAGCAAGCCACCACGCAUGGUUGAGGCAACACCUGACCCCCGUAGUAGCGGUGCCCAACGACACGCUACGCUAGGGCAACCACGCGUCGUUAUCAUGAUCGACUGCUGUUGUACAUGCACGUUGAAUCGAUCUUGUUCGAUCCUCCGAGAGCCUCGAUUGCUUCCAAACAAUUAUCGACGAUGCUUCCAUCUUUCAUGUUGCCACAAUCCAAUCUGCUCCGAACUCAACUCAAACGAUAGCCUCCGAUCUCACAACAAUGCAUUGAUCUACGUCGUCGACAAUUCCUUUAGAUCAACUUCCACAACCUCUUUAAACCUUGCUCUGAUACCACUUGUUAGACUAAUCCGAGGCACUUCGUCGAUCUACCGAGGACCAAGCAAUCACACAAGCACGACACCGAGAUUUGUUAACAAGGUUCACCGAUAUGGCUACAUCCCCGGGGCCUGACUACGGGCGCUCCUCCCCGUGACACCGUCACAAUACCGCACCUCGACAGUUCGAGCGCCGGCACACGCCGCCGGCUCCCCCGCGUACCUGUGCUACUAUGUUGGCAUAGGUUACAUCGUGUGUCUACCCCACUAUAUAUGAGAGGCCUAGGAUACAGGUGUCCUAUCAGGACACGACCCCAUAUCCUGUCUAAACACAAUACUACUUAGAGUCCAACUGUAACCUACCGUGUACACAAUAUUUGACACAACUCUAACAGCUAAUACUUGAACCAGCAAAGAGAGAGAAACAGGAAAAUUCAUACAGUGGAAAAGGGAAAAUAUAACUGAGGUGCUCCUCUCAAAUGGCCUUAUAGCCUAGUCAUUCUUCCAACUCAAAUAAAUUGAGGUCUCAAAAAAAUCUGGGAAAAGGGACCAUUGUUGGGUGUUCUGUGGUAUACGUGUA
rnacentral:lncRNA from 1 species